rnacentral:rRNA from 1 species
AGCGAACGCUGGCGGCGUGCCUAACACAUGCAAGUCGAACGUGAAAAGGGAAACCUGAGUAAAGUGGCGUACGGGUGAGUAACGCGUAGGUAAUCUACCCCAGAAUCUGGAAUAACCUGCCGAAAGGCGGGCUAAUACUGGAUAGAGCGAGGGAACUCGUAAGAGAGUUUUUCGGGAAAGGGAGCCCGCAAGGGCCUUCGUUCUGGGAUGAGCCUGCGUCUCAUUAGCUAGUUGGUAAGGUAACGGCUUACCAAGGCGAUGAUGAGUAGCUGGUCUGAGAGGAUGAUCAGCCACACUGGAACUGAAACACGGUCCAGACUCCUACGGGAGGCAGCAGUGGGGAAUCUUGCGCAAUGGACGAAAGUCUGACGCAGCCACGCCGCGUGAGUGAAGAAGGCCUUCGGGUUGUAAGGCUCUGUCGGAUGGGACGAACAUCUUCAUAGUGAAUAGCUAUGAGGACUGACGGUACCAUCAAAGGAAGCACCGGCUAACUCCGUG